rnacentral:rRNA from 1 species
ACACAUGCAAGUCGAGGGGCAGCAUGGUCUUAGCUUGCUAAGGCCGAUGGCGACCGGCGCACGGGUGAGUAACGCGUAUCCAACCUGCCUUACACUCUUGGACAGCCUUCUGAAAGGGAGAUUAAUACAAGAUGUUAUCAUGAGUAAGCAUUUUCGCAUGAUUAAAGGUUUACCGGUGUAAGAUGGGGAUGCGUUCCAUUAGAUAGUAGGCGGGGUAACGGCCCACCUAGUCUUCGAUGGAUAGGGGUUCUGAGAGGAAGGUCCCCCACAUUGGAACUGAGACACGGUCCAAACUCCUACGGGAGGCAGCAGUGAGGAAUAUUGGUCAAUGGACGAGAGUCUGAACCAGCCAAGUAGCGUGAAGGAUGAAGGUUCUAUGGAUUGUAAACUUCUUUUAUACGGGAAUAAACGAAUCCACGCGUGGAUUUUUGCAUGUACCGUAUGAAUAAGGAUCGGCUAACUCCGUGCCAGCAGCCGCGGUAAUACGGAGGAUCCGAGCGUUAUCCGGAUUUAUUGGGUUUAAAGGGAGCGUAGAUGGGUUGUUAAGUCAGUUGUGAAAGUUUGCGGCUCAACCGUAAAAUUGCAAUUGAUACUGGCAGUCUUGAGUACAGUUGAGGUAGGCGGAAUUCGUGGUGUAGCGGUGAAAUGCUUAGAUAUCACGAAGAACUCCGAUUGCGAAGGCAGCUUACUAACCUGUAACUGACAUUGAUGCUCGAAAGUGUGGGUAUCAAACAGGAUUAGAUACCCUGGUAGUCCACACGGUAAACGAUGAAUACUCGCUGUAGGCGAUAUACAGUCUGCGGCCAAGCGAAAGCAUUAAGUAUUCCACCUGGGGAGUACGCCGGCAACGGUGAAACUCAAAGGAAUUGACGGGGGCCCGCACAAGCGGAGGAACAUGUGGUUUAAUUCGAUGAUACGCGAGGAACCUUACCCGGGCUUAAAUUGCAACCGAAUAUGGCGGAAACGCUAUAGCUAGCAAUAGCGGUUGUGAAGGUGCUGCAUGGUUGUCGUCAGCUCGUGCCGUGAGGUGUCGGCUUAAGUGCCAUAACGAGCGCAACCCUUGCCGAUAGUUACUAACAGGUUAUGCUGAGGACUCUGUCGGGACUGCCAUCGUAAGAUGUGAGGAAGGUGGGGAUGACGUCAAAUCAGCACGGCCCUUACGUCCGGGGCUACACACGUGUUACAAUGGGGGGUACAGAGGGCUGCUACCACGCAAGUGGAUGCCAAUCCCAAAAACCUCUCUCAGUUCGGAUUGAAGUCUGCAACCCGACUUCAUGAAGCUGGAUUCGCUAGUAAUCGCGCAUCAGCCACGGCGCGGUGAAUACGUUCCCGGGCCUUGUACACACCGCCCGUCAAGCCAUGGGAGCCGGGGGUACCUGAAGUGCGUAACCGCAAGGAGCGCCCUAGGGUAAAACUGGUGACUGGGGCUAAG